AAGUGACUCACAACUACCAGAUUGUGGGAACACUGAAACAGCCUAUGGAGAGCCCUCAUGGGAAGGAACUGAGGUCUUCUGCCAACAGUCAUUCCAAAGAUGCAGGUGUUGCUAGAAAUAGAGAGUCCCAGCAGCAUUAAGAGAUGGAAGUUCAGCAAGAGAAGAGCGGGCAGCAGCUCCCACCAUGUCCAGGGCAGAGGGUACCCCAACUUGUGUACCUGAAUAUACGACCAGUAAGGCAGGUAAACCCCAAAACGAAGAUAAAGAUAAGUUGGUGACAGCAGCCAUUAAGGGCUCAUAUAGAUGAGUCCCUUUGUUCUAGUCUUGAGCUUACCAAGUAACUGCCUCUGUAUCAUUCAUCUUCCCAAGUAAACAUCCCAAAAGGGAGAGAGUGUUCCGAUACAUAAUCAAGAGGAUCAGAUUCUCUUGUCGGUUCCGGUUGGUAUGAACCAUUCAGCCCACUCAAGGUAUAGGUAUGAUCACCGUUCUUAUUUAUCCAAUUAACUGCUCAUGUUCUCCCCUGCAGGGAUGUACCAGGACGACCAGCCAGCCUUCUGCAAUGAGACCCAGUGGCCCUUUUCCCAAACCAUGGCACAGGAUUUAAAACAACCACACACAAACAAGAAGUUUAGUCUACACAGUAGAGGUGGACACGCACACACUGUAGGCAGCAUAUAGACACUGGGGUCCGGCUGGGCUGGGUCAGCAAUACUCACGGCACUUGAGGAGGAAGGGCACCUUCCUGGGCUUCCACCUAGAGGGACACUGGCACCCAGCUCUCCAGCCUGCCAGGAACUCGGCCAACCAUUCCAGGGUGGGUCCUUUUCAAGAACAACACUUGGCCCCUCCUCCUCCUUUAAGUACUCUGUCCACUUGUUUCACUGAGGUCAGCUAGCAUAGAGCCCACCCUACAUCUCAGAGGAGGCAAAUCUACACGUGCUCCCCUGGAAUGCCCCCUCUUUCUCUCUUCUCCACCUAGAGCACCUCUCCUCCAGGGACCAAGGAGAAAAGCUCCCUCUGCUGUUUGAUGUUGACACCAGCCUCCCACAGACAACGCUUCUAUCCAGAGGUGGGCUUAGUACUUUCCCUGGCACAGACUAAAGUGUAUAGCCAUUCAGGGCUAUGUUGCACUUCAUUUAUUCCCUCAUUCAUUCAUCCAUCAAAUGCUGGGGGGUUCCUACUUAGAAGCAGAGCAGUCAUGGUAGAAAUAAGACUACAGAUUCAGAAAUUGCUGAAACAUGGUUUUUUUCAUAUAUUUCAACUGCAUGCCUAAAGAAAUGAGAGACAUAUCAGCCUGAAGCUGGGUGACUGCUUCACCUCAGUUCAGUUCUGAAUGUACCAGUUUUCUGGAUUCUAUAUCAAAUCCACUCACUGUCUCCUUCCCAGAAAUUGUUUUCAGAUCCACAGGGUUGAGGCCCUUAUAUUCACAAAUAAACAAACUUAGACAUUGCAUUUGAAAAGUGACUCAAGGGCAUAUUUUGAAAACCAGGGAAAUAACAGCAAAUAAAGAUAAAACAUAUAUCUGAAAAGAGAUUAGAUACACAUUUAGAAAGAAAAGGAGUCAUAGCAUUCCUUCAGAAGAAGGAUGAGAGUAGGGCACUACUACAGAUAUCUGUAUUCGUUGAGUUUUUAACUUUUAGAACACAUGACAUUGAGUUCCUGCAGAUUCUGCAGUGUCAGGUUCCUCAUCCCAGCAGGGCAGCUGCCCUGGGAGAGGGAGGAGCCCUGGACUUGGGGUCAGGCCCCAGAUGACUGCAGAAAUGAUGCUGGGCCAACAGGGGAAACCCUACCACUGAGGGGCUCACAGCCCAGAGGGGAAAUGCUGCUAAACAGAAGCACAAAAAUCUCCCAGAAGAUUCAACCCUGGCUGUGCAUCAGAAUCACUGGAGGCGUUUUUGUGGGGUUUUUUUGUUUUUUGUUUUUUUAACAUUCAUGCCUAAGCCCCACCCCUGUCUCCUGAAUCUGAAUCUCAAGGUCAGACAUCACCUCCACUGUCCAGCUUUUCUGAUGCCUCCAGACAACACAGUUCCUUCACCUAUGACCCUGUACUCCUGGGUUUUUGUCACCUUCCUCCUCGCUUAUGUGUUCGCCUGCCCUCCAGCUCCCACUAGACUCUGAGCAAGGUGAGCCAGAGAAAUAACUGUCAUUUGAUUACAAAGCCUUUUUCCCCAG
rnacentral:lncRNA from 10 species